CCCGAAUACGUGUUCGGUUAUGGUUUACAGACUCGAAAACUAUAGUCGUUCGAUUUCGCUGAAAGUUGCACAGUUUGUCCUCGUUGGUUUCAGAUGGUUUUUAGUGAGCGGUGUCGGUUUAGAUCGGAAAUUUGACUGCUAAAAUUGAGACUCAAACGAAAAAAAUGUAUACUAAAAAGUUUCGAUAAUUGCACUUUUUGUUCUCGUUUAUUUCCAGUAUCUGUUGGUAACACCUGGGCGGGGAUAAUAUUUUUAUGUUAAUCAAUUGUUUCCACUGGAAGGUACGGUUUUAUUUCAUUUUUAAAAUUCGUUCUCGUUCAAUACUGCGACACGGGCAAGGGCGGAUCAUGCAGAUAGUAUAUUUUAUGUCACACAAUUUUC